rnacentral:rRNA from 1 species
GAUCAUGGCUCAGGAUGAACGCUGGCGGCAUGCCUAAUACAUGCAAGUCGAACGAGGGGAAGGAAAGCUUGCUUUUCUGAAUCUAGUGGCGAACGGGUGAGUAACACGUAGGUAACCUGCCCAUGUGCCCGGGAUAACUUCUGGAAACGGAUGCUAAAACCGGAUAGGUAGCAGACAAGCAUUUGACUGCUAUUAAAGUGGCCUUGGCCAUGAACAUGGAUGGACCUGCGGUGCA